AUUGAACGCUGGCGGCAUGCCUUACACAUGCAAGUCGAACGGUAACAGGUCUUCGGAUGCUGACGAGUGGCGAACGGGUGAGUAAUACAUCGGAACGUGCCUAGUAGUGGGGGAUAACUACUCGAAAGAGUGGCUAAUACCGCAUGAGAUCUACGGAAGAAAGAAGGGGAUCGCCACACCUUGUGCUGACAGAGCGGCCGAUGGCAGAUUAGGUAGUUGGUGGGAUAAAAGCUUACCAAGCCGACGAUCUGUAGCUGGUCUGAGAGGACGAUCAGCCACACUGGGACUGAGACACGGCCCAGACUCCUACGGGAGGCAGCAGUGGGGAAUUUUGGACAAUGGGCGCAAGCCUGAUCCAGCAAUGCCGCGUGCAGGAUGAAGGCCUUCGGGUUGUAAACUGCUUUUGUACGGAACGAAAAGCCCUGGGUUAAUACCCUGGGGUCAUGACGGUACCGUAAGAAUAAGCACCGGCUAACUACGUGCCAGCAGCCGCGGUAACAC
rnacentral:rRNA from 1 species